UACGGAGGGUGCAAGCAUUAAUCGGAUUCAUUGGGCGUAUAGGGCGCGUAGGCGGGGAAGGAAAAGUCAGAUGUGAAAUCCCCGGGGGCUCAACCCCCGGAACAGCAUUUGAAACUCCCUUUCUUGAGGGUAGGCGGAGAAAACGGAAUUCCACAUGUAGCGGUGAAAUGCGUAGAUAUGUGGAGGAACACCGGUGGCGAAAGCGGUUUUCUAGCUUACUCCUGACGCUGAGGCGCGGAAAAGCAAGGGGGAUCAAACAGGGAUUAGAAAACCCCCAGUA
rnacentral:rRNA from 1 species